rnacentral:rRNA from 2 species
UGAAGAGUUUGAUCAUGGCUCAGAUUGAACGCUGGCGGCAGGCCUAACACAUGCAAGUCGAACGGUAACAGGAAGCAGCUUGCUGCUUUGCUGACGAGUGGCGGACGGGUGAGUAAUGUCUGGGAAACUGCCUGAUGGAGGGGGAUAACUACUGGAAACGGUGGCUAAUACCGCAUAACGUCGCAAGACCAAAGAGGGGGACCUUCGGGCCUCUUGCCAUCAGAUGUGCCCAGAUGGGAUUAGCUUGUUGGUGAGGUAACGGCUCACCAAGGCGACGAUCCCUAGCUGGUCUGAGAGGAUGACCAGCCACACUGGAACUGAGACACGGUCCAGACUCCUACGGGAGGCAGCAGUGGGGAAUAUUGCACAAUGGGCGCAAGCCUGAUGCAGCCAUGCCGCGUGUAUGAAGAAGGCCUUCGGGUUGUAAAGUACUUUCAGCGGGGAGGAAGGUGUUGUGGUUAAUAACCGCAGCAAUUGACGUUACCCGCAGAAGAAGCACCGGCUAACUCCGUGCCAGCAGCCGCGGUAAUACGGAGGGUGCAAGCGUUAAUCGGAAUUACUGGGCGUAAAGCGCACGCAGGCGGUCUGUCAAGUCGGAUGUGAAAUCCCCGGGCUCAACCUGGGAACUGCAUUCGAAACUGGCAGGCUUGAGUCUUGUAGAGGGGGGUAGAAUUCCAGGUGUAGCGGUGAAAUGCGUAGAGAUCUGGAGGAAUACCGGUGGCGAAGGCGGCCCCCUGGACAAAGACUGACGCUCAGGUGCGAAAGCGUGGGGAGCAAACAGGAUUAGAUACCCUGGUAGUCCACGCCGUAAACGAUGUCUACUUGGAGGUUGUGCCCUUGAGGCGUGGCUUCCGGAGCUAACGCGUUAAGUAGACCGCCUGGGGAGUACGGCCGCAAGGUUAAAACUCAAAUGAAUUGACGGGGGCCCGCACAAGCGGUGGAGCAUGUGGUUUAAUUCGAUGCAACGCGAAGAACCUUACCUGGUCUUGACAUCCACGGAAGUUUUCAGAGAUGAGAAUGUGCCUUCGGGAACCGUGAGACAGGUGCUGCAUGGCUGUCGUCAGCUCGUGUUGUGAAAUGUUGGGUUAAGUCCCGCAACGAGCGCAACCCUUAUCCUUUGUUGCCAGCGGUCCGGCCGGGAACUCAAAGGAGACUGCCAGUGAUAAACUGGAGGAAGGUGGGGAUGACGUCAAGUCAUCAUGGCCCUUACGACCAGGGCUACACACGUGCUACAAUGGCGCAUACAAAGAGAAGCGACCUCGCGAGAGCAAGCGGACCUCAUAAAGUGCGUCGUAGUCCGGAUUGGAGUCUGCAACUCGACUCCAUGAAGUCGGAAUCGCUAGUAAUCGUGGAUCAGAAUGCCACGGUGAAUACGUUCCCGGGCCUUGUACACACCGCCCGUCACACCAUGGGAGUGGGUUGCAAAAGAAGUAGGUAGCUUAACCUUCGGGAGGGCGCUUACCACUUUGUGAUUCAUGACUGGGGUGAAGUCGUAACAAGGUAACCGUAGGGGAACCUGC